rnacentral:lncRNA from 10 species
AGACCCUUGCCAUCAGCAGAGGCUGCCGCUGCGCGUCCCCUAGGCGCGGAAGAGGCGGCUGGUGGUCCCUGACGGCAAGGUGAAGUCGAGGCAGUAAUCGGGAACCCAGGUUUUAUACAUUACGAAUAAAGCUGGCACGUUUCCAUUUCUCCUGGGCAAAUAUUUAGAAGAAAAGUUGCUGGGUAAUUGAAGCACUGAGACCACAGAGGCAAGAGCUGGGGAAGGAAAACUGCCCAUGAGAUGAGAUGUGCCUCUCAGCUUCCAAAAUCGGGGAGAUGCCCCCCAUGGAAUCCAGCCAUCAUGCUGUGAGGAAUCCAAGCAGCUACAUAGAAAGGCCACAACUAGAUAUUCCAGCUGUAGUCAGCUGAAGCUCCAGCCAACAGCCAACAUCAACCACCACACGUGAAAACGAGCAAGCCUUCAGAUGAUUCCGACUCCCAACCUCCAAGCCACCUCAGCUGAAGCCAAGUAGAGCAGAGACUAGCUGUCCCCCAAUGCUCUAAUAUGCAGAUUCAUAAUUAAAAAGAAUGUUAUUGUUCUAA